CCUGAGCUACCUUACAAUUUGCGUGCUGUUGUUUUUAAAAAAAAUAGUUUAUUAUUGUAUUUUUUGGUGUGUUUUGUAUUUUUUAUAGCUGCAUUUAGUGUGCCAAAAAAUAUGAAAACUUGACGUUCGUGACGUCACAUGUACAUACCAAACAAUGACGUCAUUCAAUAAAUUGCGUCACGCUCGAAUGACCGUUAUAUUGGAUUUAUUUUGAGGACAAAUAUUUCUUAAGCUUACAUAAAUAAAAAUUGAUUUAAUGAAAAAAAAUUAAAAAAAAAGAAAGAAGGGGUUUGAUAAAGGGUAAAGGUGUGAUAAAGGGUAUGCGAAAAGGGGUAGGGUGUGAUAAAGAGUGCGCAUCACAGUUGCGCGAUAUGGAUUAAACAGCAGGCUAUUUAUCAAGUUUUCAAAACUACUGUAUAUACUACUAAACAUAUGAUAAAUGCUUUUAUCAAAGUAAUGCAUAGCAUUACAAUUACUUUUGCAAAGUAAUGCAUUGCUUACACAUAACAUUUUAAAAUGUUAAUACUAAGAGGAAAAAAAAUC
rnacentral:lncRNA from 1 species